rnacentral:rRNA from 1 species
AGUAACGCGUGGGUAACCUGCCCUAUACACAUGGAUAACAUACUGAAAAGUUUACUAAUACAUUAUAAUAUAUAUUUACGGCAUCGUAGAUAUAUCAAAGUGUUAGCGGUAUAGGAUGGACCCGCGUCUGAUUAGCUAGUUGGUGAGAUAACUGCCCACCAAGGCGACGAUCAGUAGCCGACCUGAGAGGGUGAUCGGCCACAUUGGAACUGAGACACGGUCCAAACUCCUACGGGAGGCAGCAGUG